CAUUACUGAGUAUGGAGCUGGCACUGUGAGAGGUCAGAUCUUGUAAGCACACAUUCCUUUUAAAAUGAGAGACCUGUCAAAAGAAUGCAGCAUGCCUCUGAGUGGAGUUAAUGCUGUUUUGAGACCCUUUCAUCCCCCUACAUGCUUCUUCCAUGUUGAUGCUGACAUCUCAUGAAUAGCUGCAGUUAAAACAUUUGGUUUGGCACUCGGGAGGCUGAGGCAGGAGGAUCAUUG